rnacentral:rRNA from 1 species
AUCCUACGGGAGGCAGCAGUGAGGAAUAUUGGUCAAUGGCCGCAGGGCUGAACCAGCCAAGUCGCGUGAGGGAUGACGGUCCUAUGGAUUGUAAACCUCUUUUGUCAGGGAGCAAAGGGCGCCACGUGUGGCGUUUUGCGAGUACCUGAAGAAAAAGCAUCGGCUAACUCCGUGCCAGCAGCCGCGGUAAUACGGAGGAUGCGAGCGUUAUCCGGAUUUAUUGGGUUUAAAGGGUGCGCAGGCGGCGAGUUAAGUCAGCGGUAAAAUUUCGGGGCUCAACCCCGACAAGCCGUUGAAACUGGCUU